ACUCUGUCUUACUCACUUGUGAAGGUGACCAUUUGAGGUCUCAAAUUGCCAUUGUAACCACCAUCUGUAAAAUCAUUUCUCUGAAAACUGGCUACCUCCAGGAUAUAGAUGCUGCACAAUCUCACAAGCGAUGGUAGAAAAAUCCCUUCAGGAAAAAUUGAAACAAUGGGCCAUUGCUUACCACCUUCAGAGUUUCUCACAUCCUUUGCCAACCCUGAAAAUCCAUCUUAACUCUGACAGCAGACAGCCAGUUGGUGUGUUCCCCCAGGUGAGGACGUUCCUUUCCUUCUCCACCAAAAAUGACCUUGUGUACACCACCGUUUUUUGCAGGUAGCACAAGGGACUCAUUCUUUUGAUAACAUAGGAUGUAGAAUUCAGAACUGUGGAAUUGCACAGGAAGAGUUCCAAGAGGAUGCGGUCACUUGGUAGAGCUUAUGCUGGACACAACAGAGAGGCUCCACAAUGAAACACCUGGUCAAGGGCAGGUUUAAAUUCUUAAGCUUUCCUUUCUUCUGUAUUUUUACACUUUCAAAAUCCAUGCAACUGCUAUGAGGCAGAACAUGUCGUCGGGGACCUUGCAUUACCUCAGAAGUCCCAUUUGUAUGCCUAUGUUGAUACAAUCAUACCACGGGGCCAAUAUUUAAAAAAAAAUAAGUGUAAUGAUGCAAUGAUAAUUUUUAAAUUAACCUAAAAGGAAAAUUCAUAAUAAAAUUCAAAAAAAAAUAAGUGUAAUGAUGCAAUGAUAAUUUUUAAAUUAACCUAAAAGGAAAAUUCAUAAUAAAAUUCAGUACACCUAAUAUGCUUCAAGUUAAUGUAAAUUGACUCGAAAAAGGAAGAAAAACCCACAAACUAGCAGUGCUUCCUCUCAUUCAACAAGUUAUUUAUUAACCCCCUGCCAUGUGCCAGACACUGCGCGAGGCAGUGGAUUUACAGCUGUGACCUCCACACAGUCUCACCUCCAACACUUGUUCACCUCUAGGGAGAAAGGUAGACAGGUGAAUGGAGUAUUUUCUGUUCAGUGGGAUUUGUGGUCUGGGAACACAGGCGAUCAAUAAAAAGCUCUGGUGAAAAGUAUCCGGAGGGUUUCCUAGUGAAACAGAUACUGAACAAUUUAAAAAGAAAUUGACAUUGGUUAAUAUUGUGGGCUGAAUCACGUUUUCCCCCCGUUUCCUACAUUACAGUUCUAAUCCCCAGUAGCUGAGAAUGUGACUGCAUUUGAAGAUAGGGUCUUUUCAGAGGUAAUUCAGGUUAAGUGAAAUCCCUAGGGCAAGCGCAACCCAACUUGACUGAUGUCCUUAUAAGAAGAGGAGAUUAGGAUUCAAACACAUACAGGAAAGACCCUAAGAAGAUACAGUAGAGGAGCCGUCUAUGCGCCAAGGAGCGAAGCCUCAGAAAUCAACUCUGCUGACUCCUUGAUCCAGGGCUUCUAACCUUCAGAACGACAAGAACAUCAAUUUCUGUUAUGAAAGCCACCCAGUCUGUGGUACUUUGUCACGGCAGCCCUCGCAGAUUCAUACAGUUGCUGAAGCAAAGUACAUACUACAAGAGAACAGGAGGGAGAGGCACCCUCUGGACUGAGUACGGAUGAGGGAGCAGCAGCAAAUGAGCCUGGGAGGUACGCAGGGGUUCAUGGGAGGAAAUCUCUGCCUCCUUCACUGCAGCCUGAGAUGCCUGGUCAGAGAGUUCAAACUUGAUCCUGAGGGCGUCAGUCACCGUAGAGGGUUUUUUAUGUGACAUUGUAUAUAAAAAGCUUAGAUUUUAUAAAAUUUGCUCUGCUCACUGUGUUGAUUGUUACCUGGAAACAAGACUCUAGAAGCAGCUGGGAGACCAAUCCAAAAUGUAUUGCAAUAAUCCAAAUGAGAGCUAAUGAGAACAGCCUAAAAUAUAUUAAAAUGGAGGAAAAAAAAGGAAUCUUGAGACAUGAAUGAAAAUGUGCAACAAAAUAAACAAAGAAAACCAGCUCUAGGACAAAGGAUGAAAACGAAGGUGUUAGAACCAUCUCUGAGCCUUCCCCGCACGAUUGUAUUUCCACCCCAGCGGUUCGCCUUCUCAAAGUAGCCACGUUCAUACUGGCAGAGAGGACAGAUUCCAUUUUUAUGAGUUCAUAUAUUUGGCAACAUCUCCUAAGGCACCUGCCAACCCCACUGUAUCUCAGGCUUGGACUCUUGAACUCUGAGAUCUGAGAACACUAAAUUCAUUCACACUUCUAAAAGGGAUGUGGAUUGAGGCAUAUUCUCUAAUGCCUAUAUUUAUAACGCUGCCCAGAAGCGUUCUAUGUUCUAUGUGUGAAAAUUGCCAGCCCUCAGAAACCUUCUUAAUGUCUCUCUAGCUUUGACACCCCUGAGGAAGACUUAACUACCUUCUAAAUAUAGGUAGCUAAGAGAAAGACGUCAGGGGGGAGAGAGAAGAGAAAGGUGGGGAAGUGGAGAGAAAGAGGUUUGGAGUUUGGAGGCCCCCCCACACACACACACUUUUUUUUUUUUUUUUGUCUUUUGUCUUUUGCCAUUUCUAGGGCCGCUCCUGCGGCAUAUGGAAGUUCCCAGGCUAGGGGUCUAAUCGGAGCUCCAGGGAACCUCUAUAUGCCACAGUACGGCUCUAGAAAAAGGCAAAAAAUAAAAAAUAAAAAUAAAUUUUAAAAAAAGGGAGUUCCUGUCAUGGUUCAGUGGUUAACAAAUCCAACUAGGAACCAUGAGGUUGCAGGUUCCAGCCCUGGUUACCAUGAGCUGUGGUGUAGGUUGCAGACUCAUAGGCCGGUGAUUAGACCCCUAGCCUGGGAACCUCCAUAUGCCAUGAGUGCGGCCCUAGAAAAGACCAAAAAAAAAAAAAAGCCAAAAACAGCAAGAGUGACCUUGUAAAACUUAUGCACGAUCGUAGUUCAUAGAUCUGUUCAGAUGAUCUUCAAUGACCCUUCCCCUCUCAGAAUCUCAGAAUCAAAAGCCACCUUAUCACAGUGGUCCUACUGCAUCUGAGCUCUAGUGACCUCUGGCCUCAGCCUCCUCCACUCUCCACCUUGCUCAUUCUGUUCCAGCCAUCCUGGCUUCCUUACUGAAUAUGGAACCCUCCAGGCAGCUUCCUGUGUCAAGACCUCUGCACUUACUUCUCCUCUGUCUUGAAAGCUCUUGUUCUUUCUCCAGAUGUCUAAAUGAUUGGUUCCCUCAUCUCUUUCAGAUAUUUGCUAAGAUGUUACUUUCCCAUUCAGGCCAUCACUGAGCAACCUACCCAAGGUUGCAAGCCUGUGCCUGUGAGAAACUUCUCAUCCCCUAUUCUCUGCUUUCCUGUUCUCCAUGGCAUUACCGCCUUCUGAUGUAGUAUAAAUACAACACACGCAUUUGUUUAUCUGUAUCCUUCCCAAAACAUGCAGGGAUUAGUAUCAUCUGUUUUACUCACGGCUCUAUACCCCAAAACGAGAACAGUGCCUGCCUCACAAUAGAUUUUUAAUAAAUAUUUAUUGAAUCAAUGAAAUAAAAAUCUCUUGGAGUUUGCAGUGACUUUCCUUUUUGCUCUGCCUUAAUCUGCUCCUAUGGAAAGCUCCUGAGAAUAUUUCUUCACAACGGAUAAAUUAACCGUGAGAGGGGCAAAGUUCAAAAGGCUUGCUCAGGCUCAGCAAGGCAAAAAAGCUAAUUGGGCAAAGGUAGCAGAAUGGUUUCAAGAUGCCUUGGAAAGAGAGGAAUGACAAAUCGCUUCAUUUUUCACAUUGACAACAAUGUUUUUAUUAGCAUGGGAGUUGAGGUUAGAUUUCAAAAUAACAGUGAUUUAAAAAAAAAAAAUCCUCUCUCAAAAACUUGCCAUUGUAAUUUUGUUGUCCAGUAGUAUCAAGUUAAACGAACCCCUCAUGAAGGGAAAAGAGAGUGCUUUUUCUUGAGAAAACAAAACAAUUAAGAGUCUAGCUAAAGUGCCCACAAAACAUGAACUGUUUCAUUUAACUAACUGAGAACACAGCUUGUUUAAUUCCUAAAUAAGGAAGCAAUCUCCGUUAAUAAAAGACAAGAGCCUCACAAGCAUGUUUCUCUCUGCACCUAAGCAGAUAUGGAGAGAACGUGUGGAGUUUCAGUGUGUCACCACAGAGAGCCACAGAUAAAUGGAGCAAAUACCCGGCAGACUUUAAAACAGAUGGUCUGGUUUGGUGUUAAAGCUAAUUCUGAGUUUUACCAUCAAGUGGUUUUCUCAUGCUAUUGUCAUCUAAAUUUCUCCAGACCUCACCAACCGGGGAGAAUAAACAGGGCCACACCAUCCAUAAGAACUUCAGAUUCGCUAACUUAAUGCCCCACAGAACAUAGGACCUCCAGCCUCCCUUCAGUGUUUCACACAGUUAUUAUAUGGAAUUCCUUAGAUGGGUUAUUUUGGGUCUGAGGAAGAGCCCUCUCAGGAGUUUUCAUCUGCUAGUGUCCCCCAAACCAUUGGAGAACAGCAUUUUGGUUGCCCAAGCUCAACCAAAAGAACACACAUCAACACCAAUGGUGUCAACAGCUGAGAGAGCCGUUUUCCUCUCUACCCUGGAGCUAUGCUGCGGCCCAAGUCAAAAAUGCUGCCCUCCUCUGUUGGGUAACACUUGGAGGCAGUGUAGAGCAGCACUUCUGUCUGCUUCUCCUGGAAAGCUCUCAGUGUAAAGAACUCCAACAGGUAUGCAUUUUGGCACACUCAGGAAUAUGCACACACACACGCGCACACGUGUCUGUGUCUAUAUGUGAGCAUGCAAUGCGUGCGUGUGUCCGUGUGUGUGUGUGUGUUUAAAUGUAAUAUGGCCAAGAAGUAAGGGCCAUAAGAUAGAGCCAAUGCUCUACUGGAAUGUGAAGGAGAUAGAGGACUCUAGAAGGGAAGGCUUCAUGGUGGAAGGGGCAUAUACACAGACCUCAGUUUAUAGGUGUCUAUAUGUAUCAUUUUUAUUAUUUAAUUCAUGGCUAGAAAAUCCCUUUCCUCAUGUUCCCUGACUCCUAUAUUUCAAGAAAGCAAUCCAAAAUUCUAAUGGACUCACGGGAAAAUUUUUUCGUAUAACAAGUAGUUCUGUAUGGUGUCUCACUGAGAAGAUAUGAAAGAUUGCUAUAGGGAUAACCUCUGUUCAUAUAGCACCUGGUUUAUAAAAUUCUUUCUGCCUGAAAAUACCCUGCUUUAAUGGAACCUGCAUUUUAGCGCUAUAAAGAACAAUAAUGCAACAUACAGGGGAAAAUGAGUAGGGUGAGAUGUGGGUCGUUGCUUAAUAAUUUAUAUAGAGUGUUUGUAGGUAGACUAAUUAAGUGACUACAGAAAGAAACCCUAAGGCAAUGGGAAUUCUUGUUGCUCAGCGUGUCACCAACCUGGCUAGUAUCUAUGAGGAUGUGGGUUCGAUCAGAUCUGGUGUUGCUGUGGCUGUGGUGUAGGCCGACCCCUAGCCUGGGAACUUCCAUAUGCUGCAAGUGUGGCCCUGAAAAGCAAAAACAAAAACAAAAAACCAGAAAAGAAACCUGAAGGCAGUGAAGGAAUAAGCCAUGUAGAUAUUUGAGGAAGAGCAUUCCAGACAGAGGGACUUGCAAUGCAAAGGCCCUGGAGUAGGCACGAUUAACAUGCCCAAGGAACAGCAACGAUGUAGAGCACAGUGAGUAAGAGGCAAAGAAAUAGGACUGCAGUCAGAGGUAGCCCAGAGCCAGAUCAAAUACAACUUUAUAAGCCAGUGUCAGGAUCUUGCCUUUUUGUAAUCUGUUUUUAAUUGAGAUAUAAUUGACAUUUUAUUUUCAGGUGUACGGUAUGAUUCAUUCUUUGCAUAUAUUGCAAAAUGAUCAUCCCAACACAUCUAGUUAACAUCCAGCAUCACACAUAGUUAUAGAUUUUUUUCCUUGGGAUGGAACUUUUAGAACUUGCUAUCUUAGCAACUUUCAAAUACACAAAUUAUAAUAAACUAUAGUCAUGAUGCCAUUUAUAAUUGGAAGUUUAUACCUCUUGACCCUCUCCACUCGUUUCACCCACCCACUACCCCCUCCUCUGGCCACCACCUUUCAGAUCUGUUCUCUGUGUCCCUGAGCUCAGUUUUUUGUUUUGCUUUUUAUUUUUUUAAGAUUUCAUAUAUACAUGAGCUCGUACAGUAUUUGUCUUUCUCUGUCUGACUUAUUUUACUUAGUACAAUGCCCUCAAGAUCCAUCCAUGGGAGUUCCCAUUGUGGCACAGUGGAAAUGAAUCUGACUAGGAGCCGUGAGGUUGUGGCUUCAAUCUCUGGCUUUGCUCAGUAGGUUAAGGAUCCAGGGUUGCCAUGGGCUGUGGUGCGGGUCACAGACACGGUUCGGACCUGGCGUGGCUCUGGCUCUGGCAUAGGCCAGCAGCAAUGGCUCCGAUUAGACCCCUAGCCUGAGAACCUCCAUGUGCUGCAGGUCUGGCCCUAAAAAAAAAAAAAAAA
rnacentral:lncRNA from 1 species